rnacentral:rRNA from 1 species
GACGAACGCUGGCGGCGCGCUUAACACAUGCAAGUCGAGCGAUGAAACUUUAACAGAACCCUUCGGGGCGACGAUAAAGUGGAUUAGCGGCGGACGGGUGAGCAACACGUGAGUAACCUGCCUUAGACAUUGGGAUAGCCUCGGGAAACCGGGAUUAAUACCAAAUAAAAUCAUAAUGACACAUGUCAUAACGAUCAAAACUCCGGUGGUCUAAGAUGGACUCGCGUCCCAUUAGCUAGUUGGUAGAGUAAAAGCCUACCAAGGCGACGAUGGGUAGCCGGCCUGAGAGGGUGAACGGCCACAUUGGAACUGAGAAACGGUCCAAACUCCUACGGGAGGCAGCAGUGGGGAAUAUUGCACAAUGGAGGGAACUCGGAGGCAGCGACGCCGCGUGAACGAAGAAGGCUUUCGAGUCGUAAAGUGCUUUUAUAUGGGAAGAUAAUGACGGUACCAUAAGAAAAAGCCCCGGCUAACUACGUG